rnacentral:rRNA from 1 species
AGACUCGUGCGGGAGCCAGCAGUAGGGAUUCUUCCGCAAUGGACGAAAGUCUGACGGAGCAACGCCGCGUGAGUGAUGAAGGUUUUCGGAUCGUAAAACUCUGUUGUUAGGGAAGAACAAGUACCGUUCGAAUAGGGCGGCACCUUGACGGUACCUAACCAGAAAGCCACGGCUAACUACGUGCCAGCAGCCGCGGUAAUACGUAGGUGGCAAGCGUUGUCCGGAAUUAUUGGGCGUAAAGCGCGCGCAGGCGGUUUCUUAAGUCUGAUGUGAAAGCCCCCGGCUCAACCGGGGAGGGUCAUUGGAAACUGGGGAACUUGAGUGCAGAAGAGGAGAGUGGAAUUCCACGUGUAGCGGUGAAAUGCGUAGAGAUGUGGAGGAACACCAGUGGCGAAGGCGACUCUCUGGUCUGUAACUGACGCUGAGGCGCGAAAGCGUGGGGAGCGAACAGGAUUAGAUACCCUGGUAGUCCACGCCGUAAACGAUGAGUGCUAAGUGUUAGAGGGUUUCCGCCCUUUAGUGCUGCAGCAAACGCAUUAAGCACUCCGCCUGGGGAGUACGGUCGCAAGACUGAAACUCAAAGGAAUUGACGGGGGCCCGCACAAGCGGUGGAGCAUGUGGUUUAAUUCGAAGCAACGCGAAGAACCUUACCAGGUCUUGACAUCCUCUGACAACCCUAGAGAUAGGGCUUCCCCUUCGGGGGCAGAGUGACA